UCAACUUAGCGCGGCUCAACAAAAUCCCCCCGAUGUUGAGUUCGAUCUCUGUUAACUGAAUUAUGGACUCGUACGCUCCAUUACUGGAGAAACUCCGGCUGCCGCAGCCGUCGCUUCAACGAUUCGCCGUCACUUCAAUAUUCUCCAAGCUGCGAGCUGCUCCGCAGCAUCUCAACUCCGAUUCCGGCCCAGGCAGAGAAGCCAUUUCUCAAUGCCUACUUCACUCAUCUCCCGCCGUAGUCGAUCAAUCAGUUCGAGAGCUCUGCCGCUUGGUCAAGGAAUCUUACAUCGACGUCUCUCGCGCUCUGAUGGAGCUUCAAGCUGCUCUCGAGGGAUCAGAAUCGCGGUUCGUUAACGUUUUCGUCAAGGGACUGGGCUUUCUCGUCCAAUUUGGAUUCCAGAAGCACAAUGGGUCGUGGCAGUUUGGCUCGGCGGAAACUCAUCCUUUUGUUAAGGUGUUGUCUUGUCGAGUUGAUGUUCAAGCCCAGCUCUUGCACCAAAUUCUACUGUUUAUGGUACAGAACAAGUCACUGGGAAUGGAAGCCGUUUGCGAAUUCUUAAGCCCAUUUGUGAAACAUUCAAUACUAAGAACACAGCUUUCAGACUCAUCGUCUUCGUUAUUUAUGCGAAAUUUGAUGUCAUCGAUUAUGUCGGUUUGCUGCUCAUUGCCACAGGAGGCAUUGCCUAUAUUUGAUUUGUUGAUUCAAAGCCUCAAAUAUGUCCCACGCAAGACUCUAGAAGAUUUCUGGAAUUUCAUACAUCUGGUGGAAUCUUUGGUGGAUGCUUGUACUGUGGUCUUAAGACUGUUGGUCACCAGUGGAUCGCAUCUCAUAAUGGAAGCUCAACAACGCAGCCUAGAACUGUUGGAUACAAUUUUCUCCUUGUAUGCAUGUCUGGACAGACAUGUUUGUGGCUUUGAGCGCAUUAUUGAACUAUCAACAUACUUGUUGUCCGUACAAAAGGACCUCAAGAUGCAAUAUGUUUCUAAGCUAUCUUCAGCCUUCCCAUCAUUAUUUACGAUUCUCCUAAAAUCAGAGCUUGAACACGAGCAAUUGUUAAUAUUGAAACUUCUUCUCUCCCUCCUGCAGUGGAAAGCUGAACAUGAAUAUGCUAACAGGGUAACAACACUUUUACCAAGUGAAGAACUUUUAUUCGUCUUUCCUGCCAUCAGUCUCAUGUCAUCUCCUUCAAAAUGUAUUAAAGGAGCAGCAACUGAAUUGCUUUCCAUAUUAGAAAAGCUGUUGGUGACACUAUUGGUGACAACAAAGGAUGAAGUUGAGAAGGAGAGGGCGUUUCACUUUUCAUUGAUUAGCACACCCGGGUCUAUUAUUGUUAAGCUUUUAGAAAAGCUAUGGUUCCAGGGCCUUUCUUCACAAUCCAGUGGGUUCUUUUUGGAUUUUGCUCUUUAUGGCCAGAGUAAUAGCAAAGAUGAUAAUGAUUUACCCAAAAUGUGUUGGACAUCUAAAUUAAGAGAGUACUCAUUAUGGAUUGUUGAUAGACGGAAAUCCCUCCUGCCCCUCACUCAAUUUGAGGAAUUAUUUGUUAGAGAAAUGCCCUUCCUAGUAAGUGCAAUCACUUCCAUUAUGGUGGUGCAUCAUUCAUUGGCGAGUGACGCUGUAGAGUUGCUAGCUGCUCUUGGAACCUUGGAUCCAAAAAUUGGAUUUCAGUUGUUUCUUUUAUUCCUUUUUUACUGCAAUAUAUUUUCAAGAAAAGAAGUCGAUCACCAGGAUAUGGUGCUUAAACUUUUGGCAUUGCUUCCAUGCCUUGCUUCUCAUAGUGCAAUGGUUCCUUUCAUAGUUGAAGCUAUUUCACCAAUGCUUCGCAAGGAUUCAAAUCCAGUCUUAUAUGCUACAGCAACGCGAUUGCUAUGUCAAAGCUGGGAAAAGAAUGAUCGUGUAUUUGGGAGUCUGCAAAGAGUCUUACUUCCCAAUGGAUUUUCUGACUUUGUUCAUGAGAGAGAGAUUUGUCUCAGUUUGGCUGCUUCAAUUCGAGAUGUUUGCAGAAAAGAUGCAGAUAGAGGAGUAGACCUUAUCUUGUCUGUUUCAGCAUGCAUUGAAAGCCCUGAUCCUAUCAAUCAAGCUCUUGGAUUUCAAGGCCUUGCACAUCUAUGUGAAGCUGAUGUCAUUGAUUUUUACACGGCAUGGGAUGUCAUUGCUGAGUAUCCACUGGACUAUUCUGCAAAUCCAGUUCUUGCAAAUAGCCUCUGCAAUCUUCUCAGAUGGGGUGCAAUUGAUGCUGAAGUCUAUCCAGAAGCUUCAAAAGACAUAAUAGGAAUUCUUUUCACUGUUGGGACAUCAACUUGUCCUUGUCAUGAUUUGCAGUGGACGAAGGCUAAGGCUUCUGCUUUUGACGCCUUGUCACAAUAUGAGGUAUCCCUUCUUGAGAGAAGUAUUGUAGAUUUUAAAGAAAGGAGCACGUCAGUCCUUUUUACGGAAAUAGAUGUGAACAUCCUCAGUGCGAUAAAAGGUCUUCUGGUCAAGAUUAUAUCUCAUGAGCACAGUAACCGGAGACGACUUGUAAAGGAGAAGAGAGUUGCUGGAAGUAAGAUUGAGAAACUACUAGACGUCUAUCCUCGUCUUGUUUUUUCUUCAGGGAACAGUACUGUUAGGGAACUGCCUGCUGCUGCACUUCUGUGUCUGUCUUUUUCUUCUAGAAAAGGGAAUGAUCCUGAAAGAAGAACAAAAGAUGAACAUGCCAGUUAUGUGGAUGCGAUGUGUGAAAUUGCUGAAUCUCUUCAACUUUCAAGAAACAUUGUCAUGGCUCUCUUAGCCCUGGAAUCAUGGAAAGCAUUUAUGGAACGCUGGUUAAAGUCUGAAGUUUUUUCCUUUGAUGUUAGAGAUACUGCAGUUAUCUCAGAGAAAACAUGUAAAGCUGCUAAUGCAAUUUUGAAGAGUAUAAUACAUGCUGCUGAAGAAGCUUUGCCAAGAUCUGCUGAAAAUAUGGCGCUAGCUAUUGGUGCACUUUGUAUGGUCUUGCCUCAGGCUGCCCAUGCUGUGAAGUCAACUGCUGCCAAGUAUCUGUUAAAUUGGUUGUUCCAGCAUGAGCAUGAGCAUCGUCAAUGGCCAUCUGCAAUAUCCCUUGGAAUAAUCUCCAGAUGUCUGCAUGUCACUGAUCAUACAUUGAAAUUUCAGAACAUCUCUGGACUUCUAGAGGUUUUAAGCGUUAGCAAAAGCACCCUCGUUAAAGGAGCUUGUGGAGUUGGAUUAGGCUAUUCUAGCCAUAAUCUUCUUUCCGGGGUUGAAAUUGUUGACAAAUCUAAUUUGGUUAAAGACAAGCAGACAUCCAGGAUUGAGGAUGUAGAGUUGCUAGGAACAAUAGUUAGGGCUUUGUCUUUGAUGAUAUGUCAGCUCACUGGAUCUUCUACAGACAUGUUGGAAGAUCUCUUUACAUUGUUCCCAGUGCACUCUUUCGAUAUCAGUGUAGAUGCCCACCUGUUGCAUGAGAAUGGUGAUUUUGAAGAUGUCUGGGGUGUUGCUGGACUAAUUCUAGGUCUGGGUAACACCAUCGUUGCAAUGUACAAAGCUGGGACAUAUAAUGCUGUCCUGGAGAUUAAAAGAUUGAUUUCCUCGUGGAUGCCUCACGGAAAUUCGGUACUUCAGUACUCUGAUUCAUUCGAUGACAAUUCUGUUAGAAUUCUCUCUGUUGGAUCCUGUCUUGCACUACCAGCCGUCAUGACUUUUUGUCAUCGAUUCGAGUUGAUGAAUGGCGAUGAACUGGGCCAUCUAAUAAAUGUCUAUAAGGAGACUAUUUCUGAACUGUUAUCUGUUAAAAAAUCUACUACAUCCCAUCAGAAUUUGUUGAUGGCAUCAUGCAUAGGAGCAGGAAACCUCCUUGCCGGCAUUUUAAAUGAGGGGGUUUGUUCUAUUGAAGUUGGAUGUGUCCAAGACUUGCUGGAGUUAUUUAGAAGAUGUUAUUCUAAUCCGUACAGUCCUUUGAUUCAUUUUGGGGGAAUGCUUGGAGUAGUAAAUGCUAUGGGAGUGGGUGUCGGAAGUUUAUUCGAUGUGCAUCCUACAACAUCAUCAGUUCAAAUUGAACAUGACCUAAAGGAAUCUUCUCAUCUUAUGGGUCCACUACUUUCAAGUCGUGUUUGUGAGCCACUGUUGACAUCAGUGAUGCAAGAGAUGUAUCUUGUUGCACAGAAUUCUGAUGACAAAAAAUUGCAGCAAUAUGCUGCAUGGGCAGUUUCAUUCCUUAGACAUAAUAUUUGGUCAAAGAAAUCUCCAAACAUUCAGAACUUAAAUGAGACAGAUGAAUCUGGUUCAAGAUCUAUACCUCAAAAUUUCCAAGUGGAUGGUGUAGUAAUGAGGCUAUGCAAUUGGCUAAAGCAGCUUAAUCUUUCAGGGACAGGUCCAGCUACAUAUAUUGACACUUUAGUAACCAUACUACGGUGCCUCUCUCAAGCUCCCAGAUUGCCGUCCUUGGACUGGGGAGUAAUCAUCAGGCGCUGCAUGAGGUAUGAGGAUCAAGUUGCUGAAUCGCAGCCACAAAGUUCUGCUCUUAGAAAGGGCAUUCUAAGGGAGGAAUGCUUGAAGUUCUCACUAGCGCAUGCAAACCAAUUCGACCAACUGCUUAUUUUUCUUGAUGAGCUUUCUGACAUCUCCAGGUUCAGAACACUUGCGCUGAAUCUGCAGUCAUGUUUGCUUAUUCAUCUCGCAGGUCUCAUGAACGUGUUCUCUAAUUCGAGGGUCGAAAAACUUUUCAAUGACAUGAAGAACUACUUGUUUUCUUCUUACUCCAACAAACUCCAGUACAAUUAUGAGAAGCAUUUACUAUGCAUCUCGUGCUGGAAGGGCCUCUACCAAUGUCUUGAAGAGGCUUCUCUCAAUUCUCUAGAGUGCAUAUCUCAUAUUGAAAACUUCAUGGAGGUUCUUUUUAUCAUGUUACCUACAUCGCCCUCCAUUACCGACACAGAAGUAGAUGAGGUACACUCCACAAAAGAGUGGUCCGAGGCAAUACGAUGCCUUGGCAAGGCACGGCAGGCAUGGCUGCUGGACUUCCUUCAGGUCUCAUCAGAGGAUCUUGUACUAAAAGAUGAGAAGUUUUUUGAAGUUCUUAAGAAGAUGAAAGCCAAAGCCAAACUAACCAGGAACGGUUCUCUUCCACUGAGCGAGCUAGGAAAACUGAAAAUCCUGAUGCUGAACUUGAAAUUGCAAGAUGUGUGGGAUGUACUGGUGGAGGUUGUAGCAGCUCUUCAACUUGCAGAGGGAAAUGUCAAGAGACAAUGGCUGGUUGAUACUGUGGAAAUUAGCUGCGUCUCAGUUCAUCCUUCCACGGCACUGCAUUUUCUUGGUUUACUAUCAGGUAGCUUCUCCAAAUACAUGCCUUUACUGAUUUUGGAACCUCAUGCCGUGCUGAAGGAUCUACCUGUGACCCUCAAUUCUCUUAUAUCCACAUCUGGCUGGGGUUACAUUGCAGAGCCCAUCGCUUCCCAUCUCCUCGCCUCGACUGAACGGAUUCUAAAUACGAACAGUAUACAUAGCUCCCAACCUAUUGAUGAAAGUGAAACUGAUACAGCUAUUUCUCUGUUACAUGUGAUGCAUAAUACCUGCGUUUCUUUGAAGGAAUUCUUGCCAUUGGAGGAGCAGCUUAGGGUUGCAAACAUGAAUAUCAUCACUCAGCAAAGAGGGUGAUUUUGAAAUUGAUCACCAAAUUUUGUUGAACAUAUUGCCGAACAGCUGAAAUUUUGGAUGUGGAAGGUUUUAGGUUUGAAGUUACAAAAGUACGUUAAAUUUAUUUUUGAAUCCUGAUAAUAACAACCUAAAAAAUAAUAAAAAAAUAAUAUUUGAUUCAACUAGUCUGGAGAAUUAGAGACUCCUUUUCUUUAUA